rnacentral:lncRNA from 1 species
CAUAUGCAACCCACUGCAGUACCACAUCAUGAUGUCCAAGAAACUCUGCAUUCAGAUGACCACAGGGGCCUUCAUAGCUGGAAACCUGCAUUCCAUGAUUCAUGUAGGGCUUGUAUUUAGGUUAGUUUUCUGUGGAUCGAAUCACAUCAACCACUUUUACUGUGAUAUUCUUCCCUUGUAUAGACUCUCUUGUGUUGAUCCUUAUAUCAAUGAACUGGUUCUAUUCAUCUUCUCAGGUUCAGUUCAAGUCUUUACCAUAGGUAGUGUCUUAAUAUCUUAUCUCUAUAUUCUUCUUACUAUUUUCAAAAUGAAAUCCAAAGAGGGAAGGGCCAAAGCUU